rnacentral:misc_RNA from 1 species
GUAUAACAUUUAUAAUAAUGAUAUAUAACCCAUUGUAAUCAUAUGUGUGUAUUAAAAAAUUUCCAUAGCUCAGACAUAAUAAUAAUGGAGCUAAGGAAAGUGUGCACAAGGUGUGAGUAUGCAGGAAAAAUAAGGGAAGGAUGUGCACAUGCAAAUAUGCCAGCAACAAUCCUCCACCUUAUUUGUAUUAAUUUCAUUAAUGAUCCUUCCGCAGGUUCACCUACGGAAA